UCGGAUAUGGUGUAACGGCUAACAUUGCCGCUCUUCAUUCGUAUACGCAGGAAUUUUUCGCGGGAGCUCGGGGUUCGAUUCCCCAUAUCCGAA
rnacentral:tRNA from 1 species